rnacentral:rRNA from 1 species
UACGUAGGGGGCAAGCGUUGUCCGGAUUUAUUGGGCGUAAAGAGCGUGUAGGCGGCUUGGUAGGUCCGCUGUGAAAACUGGAGGCUCAACCUUCAGACGUCGACCGAAACCAUCUGGCUAGAGUCCGGGAGAGGAGAGUGGAAUUCCUGGUGUAGCGGUGAAAUGCGCAGAUAUCAGGAAGAACACCCGUGGCGAAAGCGGCUCUCUGGAACGGUACUGACGCUGAGACGCGAAAGCGUGGGGAGCGAACAGG